UACGAAGGGUGCAAGCGUUACUCGGAAUUACUGGGCGUAAAGCGUGCGUAGGUGGUGAGUUAAGUCUGUCGUGAAAGCCCCGGGCUCAACCUGGGAAUGGCGAUGGAUACUGGCUCGCUAGAGUGCGGUAGAGGAGAGUGGAAUUCCCGGUGUAGCAGUGAAAUGCGUAGAGAUCGGGAGGAACAUCAGUUGCGAAGGCGGCGACCUGGUCCGAUACUGACGCUGAGGCGCGAAAGCGUGGGGAGCAAACAGGGAUUAGAAACCCCCUGU
rnacentral:rRNA from 1 species